rnacentral:rRNA from 1 species
UACGUAGGGGGCAAGCGUUGUCCGGAAUCAUUGGGCGUAAAGAGCGUGUAGGCGGCCCGGUAAGUCCGCUGUGAAAGUCCAGGGCUCAACCCUGGGAUGCCGGUGGAUACUGUCGGGCUCGAGUCCGGAAGAGGAGUGUGGAAUUCCUGGUGUAGCGGUGAAAUGCGCAGAUAUCAGGAGGAACACCAAUGGCGAAGGCGGGACUCUGGGCCGAUACUGACGCUGAGGAGCGAAAGCGUGGGGAGCAAACAGG